UCUUGUGCAAGAAGAACACACAAAUCGAGAAUUUUUUUCUCCGUUUUGCCCCUAACCUGGUAACCCACUUUUACUAAAAUACCCCCCCCACGAAUACUCCUUGUCCGUCCAAAAUCAACCUAGGUUAUGGUUCUGGGUUUUGUUUUCUCAAUCGUUCGUUCUCGGACUUAGAAGCUGGUCUGCGGGCUUUAAAGAGAAAUUUUUUGUCGGUGUUUCGAGAGGUUUGUGUUCAAUUUUGAGCCCUGAUGCCACGGUGACUGGGUGCAACUCUUCAUUUUUUGAAACUCUGCAUAGCACUUGUUUGAUGAAAUGGGCGCGAGAAUCUCGAAUCUGAUUCCUGUCAUUAUGCUUAUUUCUACUGAAGUGGGUUUGCUUGGAAUAUAGCUCAUUGCUUGAUCUGAUGACUCAAUUGCUUUCUUUUGUUUGGCUAAAGUCUUAAUAAGAAAUAAAGAUGCCGCAUAGAACCCGACCUAUGACAGCCCUUUUGGUGUUUACUGGACUUAAUGUCGCUCUAGUGUCAACCAUAACUCCUGUCUAUGAUUUCGUGUGCUUCCUUCCUUAUUGGGAAAGAAGGAGAGAACGAUGUCGUCAAGAACGUGAAGUUGUUUUAGCAAAGGGGUCCUAGCCAAAAUAAAAGGAUCUAUAAGGUAAGAAGGAUAGGAGGCACAAAGAAGAUUUCUAUGAGUACCUAUAGAUUUUCUCAUUUAUAUUCUGUAUAUUUUAGUGUUGGGGUAUGUGUGGGAUAGCACAUCAAAGAUUUGCAGGAAAUCAUGGUUGAUCUGUCUCUAUUGAACAGUUUUCUUUAUGUUCCAUCUAGGCAUUGCAAUACAAGCUUUUCAUUCAA